rnacentral:ncRNA from 1 species
GAUGUGUAAAUCAAUCACAGAGCAGGGCGAAACCAGAGGAAACUCUGGUGGAGACCCACAACGAUAUUAACCUGUAAAUCGUUCAUCUGACUUAAUUAUAAGGAUAAAAGACUAGUCGAACCGUCUA